GAAAUGCCUCCAUGAGAUCCAGCUGUAAGGCAUUUUCUCAAUUAUUGAUUGAAGGGGAAGGCCCAGCCUAUUGUGGGUGGGACCAUCCCUGGGCUGGUAGUUCUCG
rnacentral:miRNA from 1 species